CCCUUAGAUGUUCUGGGCUGCACGCGCGCUACACUGAUGCGCUCAACGAGUUUUAACCUUGCCUGGAAAGGUUGGGUAAUCUUUUUAAAACGCAUCGUGAUGGGGAUAGAUUAUUGCAAUUAUUAAUCUUCAACGAGGAAUUCCUAGUAAGCGCAAGUCAUCAGCUUGCGUCGAUUACGUCCCUGCCCUUUGUACACACCGCCCGUCGCUCCUACCGAUUGGGUGUGCUGGUGAAAUGUUCGGAUCGGCCGUUUGUCGCGGUUUCCGCGGCUCGUGGCUGAGAAGUUCAUUAAACCCUCCCACCUAGAGGAAGGAGAAGUCGUAACA
rnacentral:rRNA from 1 species